UCUUCGUCAGUUUCAGGGUCUAAAUAACCAGAUAAGAUAUCGGCAAGACGGCGUUCGCCAGUUAAAAAAUCAUUAUAUUCUUUUAAU
rnacentral:tRNA from 1 species